rnacentral:rRNA from 1 species
GCAAGUCGAACGAGAUCUUCGGGUCUAGUGGGGCACGGGUGCGUAACGCGUGGGAAUCUGCCCUUGGGUUCGGAAUAACGUUUGGAAACGAACGCUCAUACCGGAUGAUGACAAAAGUCCAAAGAUUUUUCGCCCCCGGAUGAGCCCCCGUAGGAUUAUCUCUUUGGUGAGGUAAAGGCUCUCCAAGGCGACAAUCCUUAGCUGGUCUGAGAGGAUGAUCACCCCCACUGGGACUGAGACACGGCCCACACUCCUACGGGAGGCAGCAGUAGGGAAUAUUGGACAAUGGGGGCAACCCUGAUCCACCAAUGCCGCGUGAGUGAUGAAGGCCUUAUGGUUGUAAAGCUCUUUUACCCGGGAUGAUAAUGACAGUACCGGGAGAAUAAACCCCGGCUAACUCCCUGCCACCAGCCGCGGUAAUACGGAGAGGGCUAGCGUUGUUCUGAAUUACUGGGCGUAAAGCGCACGUAUGCGGCGAUUUAAGUCUCGGGUGAGAGCCCAGUGCUCAACACUGUAACUGUCUUUGAGACUGUAUUGCUUGAAUCUCGGAGAGGUGUGUGUAGUUCCCAGUGUAUAGGUGAAAUUCGUAUAUAUUCUGAAGAACACCACUGUCGAAAGCGCCCACUGUACAUGUAUUGACGCUCAGGUGCGAAAGCGUGUGCAGCAAAACACGAUUAGAUACCCUGGGAGUCCACGUCGUAAACGAUGAUACUAGCUGCUG